UCUCAGGUAGCAUAAUUGUUAAUGUGCUAGGUUUAAGCCCUAGAGAUAAGAGUUAUAUCUUUUUGAGAA
rnacentral:tRNA from 1 species